UCUCGAGUCUCCCUAUGCCCAAAUUGGAGCUAAAGAGUCGAUGGGUGAAUUGAAAAUCGCAGGCAAAGCUCGGUUGAGCCACUGCAAUCAAAACUCAAAACCUUCUCCGAUGAUCCCUUCUCAUUUCUCGUUUCUCGUUUCACAUAUUUUUUUGACCACCGUGUCCAUCGUCCUUUUCUAGUGCAAGUUUGCCGAAGAAGAACCCCAGCCGUGAAGGAGAAUAGACGAAGCCACCGCACCUAAGGACCCCCCGCUGGUAAGUUUCAGUUUUUUGCCUUUUCUGGCUAACCAAGGCUUCCUAACCUAUUUUUUCACAGGUUUAUGCGUAAAAUCAGCCAAAAUUGACCUAACCCGGUCGAAACUGGCCAGGCUGAGGUAAAUUGCCACCGUGGGCAGCAGAGUCAGCAUCGCCGUGCUGGAACCCUAAAAGUUUACUGAAAAUAUUUUAAAAUGCCUAUUAUGGCCUUUCGAGGUAUUUUUGAAUACUUGACGAGUGUUUUAAUUUUUACAGAAAAAAUUCAAGAAACCCG
rnacentral:lncRNA from 1 species